rnacentral:rRNA from 1 species
GAACGCCGUAGCAAUACGGAGCGGCAGACGGGAGAGUAACACGUGGGAACGUACCCUUUGGUUCGGAACAACCCCAGGGAAACUUGGGCUAAUACCGGAUAAGCCCUUACGGGGAAAGAUUCAUCGCCGAAGGAUCGGCCCGCGUCUGAUUAGCUAGUUGGUGGGGUAAUGGCCCACCAAGGCGACGAUCAGUAGCUGGUCUGAGAGGAUGAUCAGCCUCACUGGGACUGAGACACGGCCCAGACUCCUACGGGAGGCAGCAGUGGGGAAUAUUGGACAAUGGGCGCAAGCCUGAUCCAGCCAUGCCGCGUGGGUGAUGAAGGCCCUAGGGUUGUAAAGCCCUUUCGGCGGGGAAGAUAAUGACGGUACCCGCAGAAGAAGCCCCGGCUAACUUCGUG